UCAUAGAGUGUAAAGGCAUAAGGGAGCUUGACUGCGAGACCUACAAGUCGAGCAGGGUCGAAAGACGGACUUAGUGAUCCGGUGGUUCCGCAUGGAAGGGCCAUCGCUCAACGGAUAAAAGCUACCCCGGGGAUAACAGGCUUAUCUCCCCCAAGAGUUCACAUCGACGGGGAGGUUUGGCACCUCGAUGUCGGCUCAUCGCAUCCUGGGGCUGUAGUCGGUCCCAAGGGUUGGGCUGUUCGCCCAUUAAAGCGGUACGCGAGCUGGGUUCAGAACGUCGUGAGACAGUUCGGUCCCUAUCCGUCGUGGGCGUAGGAAAUUUGAGAGGAGCUGUCCUUAGUACGAGAGGACCGGGAUGGACAUACCUCUGGUGUACCAGUUGUCGUGCCAACGGCAUAGCUGGGUAGCUAUGUGUGGACGGGAUAAGUGCUGAAAGCAUCUAAGCAUGAAGCCCCCCUUAAGAUGAGAUUUCCCAACUUCGGUUAUAAGAUCCCUCAAAGAUGAUGAGGUUAAUAGGUUCGAGGUGGAAGCAUGGUGACAUGUGGAGCUGACGAAUACUAAUCGAUCGAAGACUUAAUCAA
rnacentral:rRNA from 1 species